UACGUAGGGUGCAAGCGUUAAUCGGAAUUACUGGGCGUAAAGUGUGCGCAGGCGGCAGAGCAAGUCGAGUGUGAAAGCCCCGGGCUUAACUUGGGAAUUGCGCUCGAAACUACUUUGCUGGAGUGUGGCAGAGGAAGGUGGAAUUCCACGUGUAGCGGUGAAAUGCGUAGAGAUGUGGAGGAACACCGGUGGCGAAGGCGGUUCUCUGGGCCUUACCUGACGCUGAGGAGCGAAAGCAUGGGGAGCGAACAGG
rnacentral:rRNA from 1 species